rnacentral:rRNA from 1 species
UACGUAGGGUGCAAGCGUUAUCCGGAAUUAUUGGGCGUAAAGAGCUCGUAGGCGGUUUGUCGCGUCUGCUGUGAAAACCCGAGGCUCAACCUCGGGCCUGCAGUGGGUACGGGCAGACUAGAGUGCGGUAGGGGAGAUUGGAAUUCCUGGUGUAGCGGUGGAAUGCGCAGAUAUCAGGAGGAACACCGGUGGCGAAGGCGGGUCUCUGGGCAGUAACUGACGCUGAGGAGCGAAAGCGUGGGGAGCGAACAGG